rnacentral:lncRNA from 1 species
GUGGUAGUGAACGGACGUGUUAUACGGAAGCUGCGCGCGGUAUCGUCUCUUGUCAUACUAUCUGGGAAAACUUUUUUUGUUUUUUUCUGUCGCGUGGCUCAAGUAACUUCAUCGUUGUUAUUAUCAUUUAUUUCCCUUUUUCUUCCUCUUCAAUUAUUCUCUCUUUCGAGUGCGAGUCCGACCCCGUCCACUAAACAAGGUGCUAUGUUAGUGAAGGGACGAUUAUCAUUGCAUUUGUCAGCAUUGAUUGCUACUAGAUCUGCACGCGUAUUUUGAGGUUUUCUGAUCUGUGACAGUGUACCUACUCGUGUGAAAAUAAAAGCAGUUGAAAUAUAAAAAAAAGAAGGUUAGAAA